rnacentral:misc_RNA from 1 species
CGCAACUAGAUUCACGACAUGAAAUGGCCGUAAUGCUAAAGUAAUUGCACUUGCAGUUAUCAGUAACUUCUCAUCUGUCUGAGAAGACAAAGUCACCUGAACAGAACUAGGAGUCUCAAGUUUACAAAUGUACCUCCUUACAGAAUUGUAUAGUCCACUUUUAAUACUUCCCAUGAACUGAACUAAAUCCCUAACAGCCAUUAAUGCACCCUGUAUAUUGG